GACGAAGGGGGCUAGCGUUGUUCGGAAUUACUGGGCGUAAAGCGCGUGUAGGCGGUUAUCCAAGUCAGGUGUGAAAGCCUUGAGCUCAACUCAAGAAAUGCACUUGGUACUGGGUGACUAGAGGACCGGAGAGGAUAGUGGAAUUCCCAGUGUAGUGGUGAAAUACGUAGAGAUUGGGAAGAACACCAGUGGCGAAGGCGGCUAUCUGGACGGUUUCUGACGCUAAGACGCGAAAGCGUGGGAGCAACAGG
rnacentral:rRNA from 1 species